GGCUACUUUUUUGUAUUUUUAGUAGUGACGGGGUUUCACCAUGUUGGCCAAGCUGGUCUUGAACUCCUGACCUCAGGUAAUCUGCCUGCCUUGGCCUCCCAGAGUGCUGGGAUUAUGGGCAUGAGCCACUGCGCCUGGCCUUCUCUAUUUGUUUAAAAAGGAAUGUUUUUAAUGUUUCCGUUGAGCAUACUCAUUCUGCAGGAAUUUUGUAGAUAAUCUUUAUUAAGCUGAGGAUUUUUUUUAGCAUAGUAAGAGCUUUGAUAUUGAGUGUACUGAUUUUACUACGUACUUUUACUGCAUUUACUAAGAUCAUCAUAUAGUUUUUCCCUUCUAAUCUAUUCAUAUGAUAAAUUAUAUUUAUAGAUUUCCUAAUAAUGAACCCAACUGCAUUUCUAGGAUAAACCCAAUUUGUUUAUAAUGUAUUAUAUUUUUAUACAUUCCAGGAUUAAGUUUGUUAAUAUUUCCUCAGCAUGGUUUGCACUGACAUUCAUGAGUGAGAUUGGUCUGAACUUUUUCUUAAACUAGGAUAAAAGUAGGAAAAUAUUCCCUCCUUUUUUUUGAAACAGGGGUCUCACUUUGUUGUUUAGGCUGGUUUCAAACUCCUGGGCUCAACUGAUCCUCCCGCCUCGGCCUCCCAAAGUGCUGGGAUUACAGGCAUCCACCAUGCCAUGCCGAGGCUAUUAAAAUUUCAAGGUACUAGGGAGCAACAGUUGUUAGGGAAGCUGUGCCUUCAGGGCUCACUCAUUUCUCUGGGUUCAUGCCUUCCUUCCUUUUUGUGCUUUUUGUUGUCCAUUCAUUUUUCUCCCCUAGCAUUUAAAGUUUUCAGCUAUCUAGACUUCCAUAUGGCUAGUCUUGUUCUUUUUUUUUUUUCCUUCAUAAAGAUUCUUUCUUUGAGGAUUCCAAACAUUUAUUUUAGUCUUUUAUCUUUCUAUAAAUUCAUCUCAUCUGCAGUUACUUCAUUUUCUUUUUCUUUUUUCUUUUCUUUUUUUUUUUUUUUUUGAGGCGGAGUUUUACUCUGUCACCCAGGUUGGAGUCCAGUGGCGCAGUCUUGGCUCACUGCAACCUCAGCCUCCUGGGUUCAAGCGAUUCUCCUGCCUCAGGCUUCUGAGUUGCUGGGACUACAGGUGCCUGCCACCACGCCCGGCUAAUUUUUGUAUUUUUAGUAGAGAUGGGGUUUCAUCAUGUUGGCCAGGCUGGUCUCAAACUCCUGACCCCAGGUGAUCCGCCCACCUCAGCCUCCCAAAGUGCUGGGAUUACAGGCGUUAGCCACCACACCAGGCCUGCAGUUACUUCAUUUUCUGCUUGUUGUGAUUGGUGAAUUUGCUGCCUCUCAAUUUCAACAAGGCUUCUGAAGUUUGGGUUGCAGCCUCAUUUGCAAUGGGAGGGUUUUGUUUUUCUUUAUCCUUUCCCUUCCCUGUGUGCUCACCCUCCCUCUCCAGCAGAGCUACUCCUGCUUCCACCAGCCUUCCAGAAACCCAUCUCACAAUGAUGUCUAGGGCCCCUUCCCAUGGACACAUUGGGGACACUGCAGCCUCAGUGGCAGAUUCAGAGGGAGGUUUGUUUCAGCACCCUGUGGGCCGCCGAAAUCUGUCCUUCCCUCCCUGAACCAAGCACUUUGUCUAAGUCAGAGUCCCAGGCAGAGAUCCCCUGCAGUUUUAUUUUUUGCUUCCAUUCCCAAUAGUGGAGCGCCACCCCUGUUGCUGGCUUCAGGCAGGAGGCUGACUUGGCUUCUGUCUCUUGUGGAGCAUUUUAAUCUCAUUACCCUAAAAAAGGAAGAUUUGGUGGCUGUGUGGACCCCGUGCCCAAGUGCCCAUGGCUCCAUGGCUUCAGCUUUCCGCUCCACAGAGUUGCUCAUUUUUGAGCAUGGCUUGGUCUGUUUAGUUUUGCCUUAUGUUUUAUCUGCAAUUGCUUUGGGUAAGAUGCAGACAUUUCUGUUGAGUUAUUAGGCUUGGUAUGUAUUCCAUUGCAAAUGACAAAUUACUUUAACACUUAGUGGCUCAAAACAACAGUCAUUAUAUAUACAUACAUAUAUAUAUAUAUAUAUACACAUACAUACAUAC
rnacentral:lncRNA from 1 species